rnacentral:rRNA from 1 species
UUGGAGGGCAAGUCUGGUGCCAGCAGCCGCGGUAAUUCCAGCUCCAAUAGCGUAUAUUAAAGUUGUUGCAGUUAAAAAGCUCGUAGUUGAAUUUCGGGGUUCUACCGUUGGUCGGGCAAUAGUCUGUACUGGCGUGUAGAAUUUCUACCUUCUGGGGAACUAUCAUGUUAUUUAUUUAGCGUGGUAGGAAACCAGGACCUUUACCUUGAAAAAAUUAGAGUGUUCAAAGCAGGCUUACGUCUGAAUACAUUAGCAUGGAAUAAUAAAAUAGGACGGUGGUCCUGUUUUG